UUUUACCUACGGGACGCAGCAGCCGCGGUAAUACGGAGGAUCCGAGCGUUAUCCGGAUUUAUUGGGUUUAAAGGGAGCGUAGGUGGAUUGUUAAGUCAGUUGUGAAAGUUUGCGGCUCAACCGUAAAAUUGCAGUUGAAACUGGCAGUCUUGAGUACAGUAGAGGUGGGCGGAAUUCGUGGUGUAGCGGUGAAAUGCUUAGAUAUCACGAAGAACUCCGAUUGCGAAGGCAGCUCACUGGACUGCAACUGACACUGAGGCUCGAAAGUGUGGGUAUCAAACAGGAUUAGAUACCCCAGUAGUCCG
rnacentral:rRNA from 1 species